CUCCGGUUGAUCCUGCCGGACCCGACUGCUAUCAGAGUGGGACUAAGCCAUGCGAGUCAACAUAGCAAUAUGUGGCAUACGGCUCAGUAACACGUAGUCAACAUGCCCAGGGGACGUGGAUAACCUCGGGAAACUGAGGAUAAACCGCGAUAAGUCACUACUUCUGGAAUGGGUAAUGACUCAAAUCUACAUGGCCCCUGGAUUGGACUGCGGCCGAUCAGGCUGUUGGUGAGGUAAUGGCCCACCAAACCUGUAACCGGUACGGGCUCUGAGAGGAGGAGCCCGGAGAUGGGCACUGAGACAAGGGCCCAGGCCCUAUGGGGCGCAGCAGGCGCGAAACCUCUGCAAUAGGCGAAAGCCUGACAGGGUUACUCUGAGUGAUUUCCGUUAAGGAGAUCUUUUGGCACCUCUAAAAAUGGUGCAGAAUAAGGGGUGGGCAAGUCUGGUGUCAGCCGCCGCGGUAAUACCAGCACCCCGAGUGGUCGGGACGUUUAUUGGGCCUAAAGCAUCCGUAGCCGGUUCUACAAGUCUUCCGUUAAAUCCACCUGCUUAACAGAUGGGCUGCGGAAGAUACUAUAGAGCUAGGAGGCGGGAGAGGCAAGCGGUACUCGAUGGGUAGGGGUAAAAUCCGUUGAUCCAUUGAAGACCACCAGUGGCGAAGGCGGCUUGCCAGAACGCGCUCGACGGUGAGGGAUGAAAGCUGGGGGAGCAAACCGGAUUAGAUACCCGGGUAGUCCCAGCUGUAAACGAUGCAGACUCGGUGAUGAGUUGGCUUAUUGCUAACUCAGUGCCGCAGGGAAGCCGUUAAGUUUGCCGCCUGGGGAGUACGGUCGCAAGACUGAAACUUAAAGGAAUUGGCGGGGGGAGCC
rnacentral:rRNA from 1 species